rnacentral:rRNA from 1 species
GACGAACGCUGGCGGCGUGCUUAACACAUGCAAGUCGAACGGUGAAGGGACUGGUUUUGCUGGUCCUGGAUGAGUGGCGAACGGGUGAGUAACACGUGAGUAACCUGCCCCCUUCUUCUGGAUAACCGCAUGAAAGUGUGGCUAAUACGGGAUAUUCUGGGUCUGUCGCAUGGUGGGCCUGGGAAAGAUUGCGCCUUUUUUGGGGUUUUUGGUGGGGGAUGGGCUCGCGGCCUAUUAGCUUGGUGGUGGGGUGAUGGCCUCCCGAGGCGGUGACGGGUCGGCGGCCUGAGGGGGUGGAGGGUCACACUGGGACUGAGACACGGCACACACUUACACGGGAGGCAGCAGUGGGGAAUUGUGCACAAGGGGCGCAAGCCAUAUGCAGAGACGGCGCGUGAGGGAAGGAGGCUUUCGUGGUGUGAACCUCUUUCGACAGUGAAGCAGGCCUGCCUCUUUUUGUGGGUGUGUUGACGGUAGCUGGAGAAGAAGCGCCGGCUAACUACGUG